rnacentral:snRNA from 1 species
ACCCCCAGCCCUCCUGCUUGAACCUCUAAGAAAGCUCCCAAGGUGAAUUUGUAGGAGAGCAUAGGGUAGUCAAGCUUCCAAGACUCCAGAUAUGUACAUGAGGCACUGCAAGUGGCAGUCUGCUUUUCUU